GACGAAGGGGGCUAGCGUUGUUCGAUAUCUGGGCGUAAAGCGCGUGUAGGCGGUUGUCCAAGUUGGAUGUGAAAGCCUUGAGCUCAACUCAAGAAAUGCAUUCAGGACUGGAUGACUAGAGGACCGGAGAGGAUAGUGGAAUUCCCAGUGUAGUGGUGAAAUACGUAGAGAUUGGGAAGAACACCAGUGGCGAAGGCGGCUAUCUGGACGGUUUCUGACGCUAAGACGCGAAAGCGUGGGGAGCAAACAGG
rnacentral:rRNA from 1 species